AUGUCAUGCGGUUUAAAUUUAGUGCAGGGAAAAAAUCAUACGAAGGGCAGCUCAAAAAAGAGAGAUAAAAAGAAAGGGGGAGCAAGCAGAGCGGAGGAUGCUCAAGAAAGUAUUAGGGAAAACGGGGGACAUUCUUUUGGGAUUCAUCCGAUGGGUAGUGAUUUAGAGUUCUCUUUUGAGAAAGAGAUGGACAACUAUGAGCAUAUGUUAUAUGGCGAUGUAACCGCCUCACCCAAACGAGUGUGUACUGGUAGAGUUGAGGUAAUCCAGGACAAGGAGGGGGGGUGUUACGCACGUAGAAAAGGAGAUAGACGAAAAGGAGGAAGAAUAUACUCCGCAAGGUGUAGUGUCGGUGGGUGA
rnacentral:rRNA from 1 species